rnacentral:rRNA from 1 species
CUACGGGGAGGCAGCAGUAGGGAAUCUUCCACAAUGGACGCAAGUCUGAUGGAGCACGCCGCGUGAGUGAAGAAGGUUUUCGGAUCGUAAAGCUCUGUUGUUGGUGAAGAAGGAUAGAGGCAGUAACUGGUCUUUAUUUGACGGUAAUCAACCAGAAAGUCACGGCUAACUACGUGCCAGCAGCCGCGGUAAUACGUAGGUGGCAAGCGUUGUCCGGAUUUAUUGGGCGUAAAGCGAGCGCAGGCGGUUUGAUAAGUCUGAUGUGAAAGCCCACGGCUUAACCGUGGAACUGCAUCGGAAACUGCAUUCUUGAGUGCAGAAGAGGAGAGUGGAACUCCAUGUGUAGCGGUGGAAUGCGUAGAUAUAUGGAAGAACACCAGUGGCGAAGGCGGCUCUCUGGUCUGCAACUGACGCUGAGGCUCGAAAGCAUGGGUAGCGAACAGGAUUAGAUACCCUGGGGUAG